CAUAGGGGAGAUCAGAGCCGUUGAUUUGGAUUUGGAACCGUGGCUAUGGUUAGAUUCACGACCGCUCGAUACUGCGGCCGUCGAAGAAGACUGGCCCCUCCACGCAGACUAAGGUUUCAACUUCUCGCCCUGACCGCCUCCGCAGUGGAGCUUGGAGCUGCUGCUUUCUCAGAAACGUUGGUUGGUCUUUCUUCUUCGAGAUGUUCAACGACGGCCCUGAAGCCGGAUUUUCAUUCCUCCUUUUUUGCCCCUUUUUUGGCAGUUUGGUUU
rnacentral:misc_RNA from 1 species